GAUGAACGCUGGCGGCGUGCCUAAUACAUGCAAGUCGAGCGAACAGAUAAGGAGCUUGCUCCUUUGACGUUAGCGGCGGACGGGUGAGUAACACGUGGGUAACCUACCUAUAAGACUGGAAUAACUCCGGGAAACCGGGGCUAAUGCCGGAUAACAUUUAGAACCGCAUGGUUCUAAAGUUAAAGAUGGUUUUGCUAUCACUUAUAGAUGGACCCGCGCCGUAUUAGCUAGUUGGUAAGGUAACGGCUUACCAAGGCAACGAUACGUAGCCGACCUGAGAGGGUGAUCGGCCACACUGGAACUGAGACACGGUCCAGACUCCUACGGGAGGCAGCAGUAGGGAAUCUUCCGCAAAGGGCGAAAGCCUGACGGAGCAACGCCGCGUGAGUGAUGAAGGUCUUCGGAUCGUAAAACUCUGUUAUUAGGGAAGAACAAAUGUGUAAGUAACUGUGCACGUCUUGACGGUACCUAAUCAGAAAGCCACGGCUAACUACGUG
rnacentral:rRNA from 1 species